CACUCCUACGGGAGGCAGCAGUGGGGGAAUAUUGCACAAUGGGGCGCAAGCCUGAUGCAGCCAUGCCGCGUUGUAUGGAAGAAGGCCUUCGGGUUGUAAAGUACUUUCAGCAGUGAGGAAGGUGGGUAUGUUAAUAGCAUAUUCAUUUGACGUUAGCUGCAGAAGAAGCACCGGCUAACUCCGUGCCAGCAGCCGCGGUAAUACGGAGGGUGCGAGCGUUAAUCGGAAUUACUGGGCGUAAAGCGCAUGCAGGUGGUUUGUUAAGUCAGAUGUGAAAGCCCGGGGCUCAACCUCGGAAUUGCAUUUGAAACUGGCAAACUAGAGUACUGUAGAGGGGGUAGAAUUUCAGGUGUAGCGGUGAAAUGCGUAGAGAUCUGAAGGAAUACCGGUGGCGAAGGCGGCCCCCUGGACAGAUACUGACACUCAGAUGCGAAAGCGUGGGGAGCAAACAGGAUUAGAUACCCUGGUAG
rnacentral:rRNA from 1 species